rnacentral:lncRNA from 12 species
AUAUUUCUAACCUCUCAUUUUGUUUUGCCUAUAGAAUUUCAGUCAUAUACACCUGUAGGGACAACAGAUAUGAUCAUCUUGGAAAGCAAGAGUAAAGAAGAUAAAAGUGCAGAGACAGCAUCCUUGCUAGAAAGCUAUUUAGAUUUCCCAAGGAACUGCGUUUAAUGAAAAGGCUCAUUUGGAACACAGAAUUGAAGAGCUUGAAACUACU